AGAGUUUGAUCCUGGCUCAGGACGAACGCUGGCGGCGUGCCUAAUACAUGCAAGUAGAACGCUGAAGGAGGAGCUUGCUUCUCUGGAUGAGUUGCGAACGGGUGAGUAACGCGUAGGUAACCUGCCUGGUAGUGGGGGAUAACUAUUGGAAACGAUAGCUAAUACCGCAUAACAGUAGAUAUUGCAUGAUAUCUGCUUGAAAGGUGCAAUUGCAUCACUACCAGAUGGACCUGCGUUGUAUUAGCUAGUUGGUGAGGUAACGGCUCACCAAGGCGACGAUACAUAGCCGACCUGAGAGGGUGAUCGGCCACACUGGGACUGAGACACGGCCCAGACUCCUACGGGAGGCAGCAGUAGGGAAUCUUCGGCAAUGGACGGAAGUCUGACCGAGCAACGCCGCGUGAGUGAAGAAGGUUUUCGGAUCGUAAAGCUCUGUUGUAAGAGAAGAACGAGUGUGAGAGUGGAAAGUUCACACUGUGACGGUAUCUUACCAGAAAGGGACGGCUAACUACGUGCCAGCAGCCGCGGUAAUACGUAGGUCCCGAGCGUUGUCCGGAUUUAUUGGGCGUAAAGCGAGCGCAGGCGGUUAGAUAAGUCUGAAGUUAAAGGCUGUGGCUUAACCAUAGUACGCUUUGGAAACUGUUUAACUUGAGUGCAAGAGGGGAGAGUGGAAUUCCAUGUGUAGCGGUGAAAUGCGUAGAUAUAUGGAGGAACACCAGUGGCGAAGGCGACUUUCUGGUCUGUAACUGACGCUGAUGUGCGAAAGCGUGGGGAUCAAACAGGAUUAGAUACCCUGGUAGUCCACGCCGUAAA
rnacentral:rRNA from 1 species